rnacentral:rRNA from 1 species
UGUGUAGGCGGUUGUUUAAGUUUGGUGUGAAAUCUCCCGGCUCAACUGGGAGGGUGCGCCGAAUACUGAGCGACUCGAGUGCGGGAGAGGAAAGUGGAAUUCCUGGUGUAGCGGUGAAAUGCGUAGAUAUCAGGAGGAACACCGGCGGUGUAGACGGCUUUCUGGACCGCAACUGACGCUGAAACACGAAAGCGUGGGUAGCAAACAGGAUUAGAUACCCUGGUAGUCCACGCCCUAAACGAUGCACAUUUGGUGUGGGUCAUUCAGUUGAUCCGUGCCGGAGCUAACGCGUUAAAUGUGCCGCCUGGGGAGUACAGUCGCGAAGGCUGAA